UUUUCAGCCAGAGCCCAGAACCAGCCGUUGUCCCCUGGCAAAAGAGGCCCAGUGCUGGGCCCUGGGCAAGUGUCUCCAGACCUCCCUCCUUUCUUUAUUAGUCUUCUUUCCCAACAGAACCUAUUUCCUUUUGCCACUAAAACUAGGUUGCAUCCAAAAGUUUCUCACAAGCUUUAAAAAAAGAAAGAUGAAAAAUUAUACAGAAGAAUUCACAAAAGCUGCAGAGCACCAGGGCAGAGAAGCAGCGCCAGACACAGCUUGCAUGCACAGCGCCCUUGGAAGAAGAUUGUGAUGGGCUAAAAGCCGUGAGGAUGUUGCAGGCAAGGCCUGGAUUUGGUGCAGUGAAGGAAAUUCAUCACACCUGCUCCCGAGUCUAGGAAUGCCGAGUUAGCCAGCUCCCACUUCGCCCCAAGAGUCAGCCUCUCCUCCCCUGUUACCAAGAGACAGAAGAAUUUAAGAAAAGGGAUGGAUCCCAUAUUUAAGAGGCUUGAAAUUGUAUACAUGACAUUUCUGAGUUAAGUCAUAAAAUACAGCCCCCUUCAUCGCAGGAAAAAAUUUUAAAAAUGUAGUUAAAACUUAUCAUUUAAAAACCAUUGCACUAAGAGGAAUGCAAAAUUCUGUUGACCUAAGAUGUGUCCGAAACGAUUCCUAUCAUCAGCGGGGCUGGGAUAUAGCUCGGUCAUGGAGUGUUUGCAUAGCAAUGUGAAUGGCCCAAGGUUCAAUCCCCAGAACUGGGAAAGAAAGGGGGAGGGGGAGAUGUUUAUUCACAACCGCAUUUCCAAUAUAGGCAGAAAGUGGAAAGAAUCCAAACGCCUCGAUGAAUGGAUGAGUGCAAGAUGUUAUACCUAUACAAUGGGAUACUAGCCAGCAGAAGGGUAUGAAAUAAUAAAGAUGGCGGCACGGAUGACUUUUUAAAUUUCUUCCUAAGUAACAGAAGACAAUCACAAGGAAAGCACCCACUCCAUAUUUCUGGAGUAUAUAGUCAUACCUACGUAGAGAAAGCAGAACAGUGGUUAGCUGGGACUUGGAGAGAGGGCCUGGACUUUAGGAGACAGCAGGGUGGUGCCGAUGAAAAUGUUCUUGAAUUAAUCGAAGUGCUAGUUGGACCACUUGAUAACUGCAUUUAAAAACCACUGAAUUUUAUUUGUAAAUGGGGAAAUUGCAUGAUACAUUGAUUAUAUCUCAAUAAAGUCUUUAAUAGUUUUUAAACAAUA